UACGUAGGGUGCAAGCGUUGUCCGGAAUUAUUGGGCGUAAAGAGCUCGUAGGUGGUUUGUCGCGUUGUUCGUGAAAACUCACAGCUUAACUGUGGGCGUGCGGGCGAUACGGGCAGACUUGAGUACUGCAGGGGAGACUGGAAUUCCUGGUGUAGCGGUGAAAUGCGCAGAUAUCAGGAGGAACACCGAUGGCGAAGGCAGGUCUCUGGGCCACUACUGACGCUGAGGCGCGAAAGCGUGGGGAGCGAACAGG
rnacentral:rRNA from 1 species